rnacentral:rRNA from 2 species
CAGCAGUGGGGAAUAUUGCACAAUGGGCGAAAGCCUGAUGCAGCGACGCCGCGUGAGGGAUGACGGCCUUCGGGUUGUAAACCUCUUUCAGUAGGGAAGAAGCCCUCUUUGGGGGUGACGGUACUUGCAGAAGAAGCGCCGGCUAACUACGUGCCAGCAGCCGCGGUAAUACGUAGGGCGCAAGCGUUAUCCGGAAUUAUUGGGCGUAAAGAGCUCGUAGGCGGUUUGUCGCGUCUGCUGUGAAAGACCGGGGCUCAACUCCGGUUCUGCAGUGGGUACGGGCAGACUAGAGUGCAGUAGGGGAGACUGGAAUUCCUGGUGUAGCGGUGAAAUGCGCAGAUAUCAGGAGGAACACCGAUGGCGAAGGCAGGUCUCUGGGCUGUAACUGACGCUGAGGAGCGAAAGCAUGGGGAGCGAACAGGAUUAGAUACCCUGGUAGUCCAUGCCGUAAACGUUGGGCACUAGGUGUGGGGGACAUUCCACGUUUUCCGCGCCGUAGCUAACGCAUUAAGUGCACCGCCUGGAGACGCCC